rnacentral:ncRNA from 23 species
CUCUUAUUAAGAGUGAGUGGAGGGACUUGGCCCUAUGAAACUCCAGCAACAGCAGUCAUAUGCGAUGUGCUAAAUCCAACAACUCAGUAUGACGAUUGAGUUGAAAGAUGGGAA